rnacentral:rRNA from 1 species
UACCUGCACCCCGAGUGGUCGGGACGUUUAUUGGGCCUAAAGCAUCCGUAGCCGGUUCUGCAAGUCUUCCGUUAAAUCCACCUGCUUAACAGAUGGGCCGCGGAAGAUACUAUAGAGCUAGGAGGCGGGAGAGGCAAGCGGUACUCGAUGGGUAGGGGUAAAAUCCGUUGAUCCAUUGAAGACCACCAGUGGCGAAGGCGGCUUGCCAGAACGCGCUCGACGGUGAGGGAUGAAAGCUGGGGGAGCAAACCGG